rnacentral:rRNA from 1 species
CUGGCGGCAUGCCUUACACAUGCAAGUCGAACGGCAGCACGGGUGCUUGCACUGGUGGCGAGUGGCGAACGGGUGAGUAAUACAUCGGAACCUACCUCAUACAGGGGGAUAGCCCGGAGAAAUCUGGAUUAAUACCCCAUGGUACUGUUAAUCAGCAUUGGUAUACAGUUAAAGAUUCAUCGGUAUGAGAUGGGCAUGCGUCUGAUUAGCUAGUUGGCGGUGUAACGGACCACCAAGGCGACGAUCAGUAGCUGGUCUGAGAGGACGAUCAGCCACACUGGGACUGAGACACGGCCCAGACUCCUACGGGAGGCAGCAGUGGGGAAUUUUGGACAAUGGGGGCAACCCUGAUCCAGCAAUGCCGCGUGAGUGAAGAAGGCCUUCGGGUUGUAAAGCUCUUUUGUCAGGGAAGAAACAGCAGCUCUAACACAGUCUGCGAAUGACGGUACCUGAAGAAUAAGCACCGGCUAACUACGUG